CCUACGGGUGGCAGCAGUGGGGAAUAUUGGACAAUGGGGGAGACCCUGAUGCAGCGACGCCGCGUGAGUGAAGAAGGAUUUCGGUAUUUAAAGCUUUAUCAGCAGGGAAGAAAAUGACGGUACCUGAUUAAGAAGCCCCGGCUAACUACGUGCCAGCAGCCGCGGUAAUACGUAGGGGGCAAGCGUUAUCCGGAUUUACUGGGUGUAAAGGGAGUGUAGACGGUGAUGCAAGUCAGAAGGGAAAGACGUGGGCGCAACUCCGGGACUGCUUUUGAAACUGUGUGACUGGAGUGCAGGAGAGGUAAGCGGAAUGCGGGGUGUAGCGGUGAAAUGCGUAGAUAUCAGGAGGAACACCAGUGGCGAAGGCGGCUUACUGGACUGUAACUGACGUUGAGGCUCGAAAGCGUGGGGAGCAAACAGGAUUAGAUACCCGAGUAGUC
rnacentral:rRNA from 1 species